UUGGAGGGCAAGUCUGGUGCCAGCAGCCGCGGUAAUUCCAGCUCCAAUAGCGUAUGUUAAAGUUGUUGCAGUUAAAAAGCUCGUAGUUGAAUUUCGGGAUCAAUAUGUCGGUCGUGCUUUUGGUACGUACUGGCAUCAUUGGUUUCUCCCUUCUGACAAACCAUGAUGUCAUUAAUUUGGUGUUAUGGGGAGUUAGGACUGUUACUUUGAAAAAAUUAGAGUGUUUAAAGCAGGCAUUAGCUUGAAUACAUUAGCAUGGAAUAAUGAAAUAGGACGUUUGACCCUAUUUUGUUGGUUUCUAGGAUUGACGUAAUGAUUAAUAGGGAUAGUUGGGGGCAUUAGUAUUCAAUUGUCAGAGGUGAAAUUCUUGGAUUUAUUGAAGACUAUCUACUGCGAAAGCAUUUGCCAAGGAUGUUUUCAUUAAUCAAGAACGAAAGUUAGGGGAUCGAAGACGAUCAGAUACCGUCGUAGUCUUAACCAUAAACUAUGCCGACUAGGGAUCGGAUGAUGUUAAUUUUUUAAUGACUCAUUCGGCGCCUUACGGGAAAC
rnacentral:rRNA from 1 species